rnacentral:snRNA from 1 species
GGAUGUGAGGGCGAUCUGGCUGCGACAUCUGUCACCCCAUUGAUCGCCAGGGUUGAUUCGGCUGAUCUGGCUGGCUAGGCGGGUGUCCCCUUCCUCCCUCACCGUUCCAUGUGCGUCCCUCCCGAAGCUGCGCGCUCGGUCGAAGAGGAGGACCAUCCCCGAUAGAGGAGAGGACCGUUCUUCGGUCAAGGGUAUACGAGUAGCUGCGCUCCCCUGCUAGAACAAUUCUUUUUUUUAAAUUUCUUUUCAGUGUUCCAGAAUUCAUUAUUUAUGCACCACACCCACUGCUCCAUGCAAU